rnacentral:rRNA from 1 species
GAUGAACGCUAGCGGCAGGCCUAACACAUGCAAGUCGAGGGGCAGCAAGGGUAGCAAUACCUGUUGGCGACCGGCGCACGGGUGAGUAUCGCGUUUGUAACCUACCUUUAACUGGAGGAUAGCCCGAAGAAAUUCGGAUUAAUACUCCAUAAUACUAUGAAUUGGCAUCUUUUUAUAGUUAAAGCUCCGGCGGCUAGAGAUGGGCAUGCGUGGCAUUAGUUUGUUGGUGAGGUAACGGCUCACCAAGACUACGAUGUCUAGGGGGUCUGAGAGGAUGGUCCCCCACACUGAUACUGAGACACGGACCAGACUCCUACGGGAGGCAGCAGUGAGGAAUAUUGGUCAAUGGGCGCAAGCCUGGACCAGCCAUGCCGCGUGAAGGAUGACGGCCCUAUGGGUUGUAAACUUCUUUUGUACGGGAAGAAACACUCCGACGUGUCGGAGCUUGACGGUACCGUGCGAAUAAGCAUCGGCUAACUCCGUGCCAGCAGCCGCGGUAA